GGAGGAAGGAGAAUAAAGAAAAUAAGUAUUAUAGCAUUAAUAUACUAUAUCAUAAAAUUCAUUACAUCUCAAUCUUUCAAUUUGUUUUAAUCUAAAGACUCACAAUCUUUAUCUAAGAUUUUGUCUCUUGAACACGCUUCCAACUAUUGAUUAAAAUUUUGAGAUAUACUAACGUUUGCCAAUAAGAUAACUACAUAAAGUUGUAAGGACAAUACAAUCAAUUGAACCCACAAUAAUCAAAUUCUCCAAAGGUGUCUAUUAUCUUUGACUAUUAUCUUUGCGUUCCUUCAACUUAAUUUGGGUAUUUCUUUCUUUAUGUAACGACUCGCCCAAGCUCCACACUCCACAGGACGAAUCUAACUGCGGUUCUAAUACAUAUUCUUAAAAAAAAUAAUUCUAAUCCUUUUACAAUCUAUAAAAAUUAGAGCCUCAAAAUACAAAUGUAUUACACAAUCUGCAACGAAAUAAUUUAAAAUUUAUGUCAAACCAUCUACCGUCCUCAAUUCAUAUUCUUCUUGUAACCCAUCAUGAAUCAAUUCUGAUUAAUGAAAAUUGAAUCACAAUAAACUAUAAUGAGUACGAAACUCAAUAAGUAAACCAGUUUUUCAUAUACCAAAGUAUAUACAUACAUACAUACAUACAUAAAUAUAAUGCAAAUGGAUGAUGUGCCAUGGUAUUCGAAAACAUUGUAAAAUAAAUUAUCAAAAUCUCAUUCUGUAAUUUUCAAACUUUCGCAUUUUCUGUCAAAUCACUUAUUUCAACUUGAGCUACCUUCAUUCAAUUACUGCUUAGUAGGACACUCCUUUAACUUUCAUAACUUUCAUACACUUUUGGCUUCACGUCAACACGUCCCUCGCCCACUUAUCUCAUAAACACAAUAUAACAUCCAAAAUAUCCUCCAUUAAGCCAAUAUCGAAUUCAAGCAUCCAAGCCAAAACUGUAAAACAAUCUUUCUUUCUUUAAAUUUUGUUUGCUAAAAUCCACUUUUUUUAUUUUAUAGAAAACAUAAUACAUUUUCGUACUCAUGCCAAUGAAAUUUCACACGUAUGUAUGCCCAUGUCCAUAAACACACAUAACACAUAAUAACACAUCAUAUCAACACAUCACAUAAACACAUCGACAGAAUAUAUAAAUCCAUAUCCGUAUAUAUCAAAAUAAGUUUUUCAAAUAUGUCAAAUAUAUAAUAUUAUUUAUUUUGAUUCAUUUAAAAAUUUAAUUUACUUACCUCUUGAUAUCCUCAAUAAAUAAAUACGUAUCGAUAUCAUUGACCUAAAAAUAAAUAAAAAUACUCUCACAACAUAAAAUUAAAUUAUAAUCAUAAACUCUAAUAUCCUCAAACUUCUCAAUAUAAUCACAUUCCAUACUUAACCUCAAAUAAUGUCAAUUUGAAUAUUAAAUUACUAAAAUACCCUUGAAUUAAAAAUUAUCAAAAUACCCCUAAAAUCAUAAUUUACCAAUUUAACCUCAAAACCAUAAAUUAACAACUUAUCCUCAAUUUCAGCAAUUACUAAAAUACCCACAAAGUCUGGAAUUACAAAAUUGCCCUCAGAGUGCGAAAUUACUGAAAUGCCCUUGCCGACCGACGGUGACCGGGAUUCAACCGAUGGCGACGGGAAGCUCAGGUCUGAAAAUUAUGGCCACGCUGAGUCCAACGGUGGCAACGGUGACUUACCACGCGCAGCGACGGCACCGAAAUCUAGCUCGGAAACCGCGAAUGCUUAAGUGGCCGAUCGGCGGCAAAACGACGUCCCCAACGGCAGUGGAUGGCUGGAAAUGGCAGAGGGCAUGGUGGGGAACAAAACCCAAGUGGUAGCGUCACCGGAAACCGGCAAAAUCGCGGCGAAUUGGUGCGGCGAUCCUGCGGCUUUUCACGGUGGCUUUCCGGACAUAUUCCGGCGAUAAGGAUGGCAUGGAGAUGACCGGAAUCGCAGGAGCUUCCGAUCGGUACCAACCUUAGCUGGUGAGGUGGCAGGAACUGCGAGAUCCGGUCGGGUUACGUUCGCGGGUCGGGUUGACCCGAUUCUCUUUUCCCCCUCUCUCCCCCCGUGAGCUUUUCUUCCCUCUCUCUUUUUGUUUUUUUUUCUCUCUCUCUCUCUCUCUAUUUGUAAGGGUGUGGGGGUAUUACACUCCAUUUGAUCCCCAAGAAAUUCAAAUUAAAAGUUGAUUUUUGUGACACAACUUGUACAGUUCACACACUUCAACAGAAAAAAGAAACGAAAUACUACAGUGAACAAUAAAUUUGUGGGCUACUCCUUCAACAUGGUGGCAUAUGUUCGGCGGAGGCAGCAUUUUUGCUUUUGCACAUCUGCCAUUUUUCACAAUGAAUGCCAUUUGCAAGCCCCAGCUCUGAUGACGGUCUAAAUGGCAGUGGACGAACCAUGCUCCUGUUAAUAAAUACCAAUAAUAUUAUUGUUGACAUAAAUUUUUACUUAAUGUACAAUGAUUGAUUUGUAUUUUGAACUUUUUUUUUAAAUCGAGUUCUGUAAUUUAUUUUUUUCUUAAAGCAAGUGUCUCAAAUCACAUGUUUUCUCGUGAUUAAUUGUUCUGAAAAAAAAAAAAAAUUAUCAAAGGGUGCCCAUAUGCCGGCGAUAACUCUCUGACGCUCAAUUUAAUUUUUUUUACUUAAUUUUUAAAUAGAGAAAAUCAAGAGUGAGAUGGACUGAGUUUUUCUAACUCAUUUGGUGCCAUUUAUUCUCUUACCUUCAAAUGGGGGGAGGGGGGGUCUUGGCCUUUAUAUAGGCAAUUUAGAGUCGAUUGGAGAGGUUAUGCGGCACUUUUCUUGUGACAAGUGUCAGUCAAAACCCAUGCAUGGAAACACAUAUUCAUAUGUAUCAAUGCUUGCUCAUAACAAGUAAUCUUUGGACAUUUGCAUGUUUUUGGACCAUUAAUCUUUAAUGAAUUUUAGCUUAAAUUCGGCACUUAUAUUGACUCCUUACAAAGAGAAUUGAUUUUGUAACAUUUUGCCCGUAAGCGCAUUCCGUAAAAUAUUUGUUAGGUAGUAGGCUCAUUCCGUAGAAUGCUUAUUGGCAUGUUCGCACAUUUUAUAAGAUGCAUAUAUCUGCCCGUAGGUGCAUUUUCGUAGAAUGUAUAUUUAUCUGUAGCCGCAUUCCAUAUAAUGUAUAUUUAUUCGUAGGUGUAUUAUAUAGAAUGUGCAUUUGUCUGUAGGCCCAUUCCAUAAAAUGUGUAUUUGUCAUAGGUCCAUUCUAUAGAAUGUAUAUUUGUCCAUAGGCGCAUUCAGUAGAAUACUUAGUAGCUCGUGCGCUCUUAUUUGUAAAUAAUGGAUCUAUGUCAUUCUUUAUUGAAUAAUGUCUUUGGCAAUUUGUCGAAAACUCGCACUUUGAGCAUUUUACUUAAAAAUAUUUUCUAAGUUUCUAAGUCAUUCUUUGUAAGGAAUGGACUUAGGUCAUUAUUUAUAACCUAAAUCAUUCUUUAUAAGAAUGGACCUAGGUCAUACUUUAUAAAGAAUAGACUUAGGUUUUUCUUUGAUAAAUCACGCUUUUGGCGUUUUGUCAUAUCUUACAUUUAGACACUUUAUUUAGAAUUGUAAGUACCUUGAUUGUUCUUAUAGAUAAUAGGCCUAGGUUAUUUUAUGUAAAAUAUUUUUAUUGGGCCUAUAUUUUUUGUGGGUUUUGGGUCUUUCAUAAUUUGGUCUAACAAUUAUGAUUAGUUAAUGACAUUGUUAUUGAAAAUUUCCUCGACUUUAAGAGUUUCCAAAAAAAAAACAAAAUAUUGCUAGGGUGGUGGGGAUAUUUUCAGCCUAAAAAUUUAUGUAAACACACUCUAUUUUAAAAAAUUAUUUAUAAAAAUUUCACUUUAUUUUUUAGAAAUUAUAAUAAAGAAAAAGCUUAAAUAAUUAAUCAAUUAAAUCUGUUUUUGUACAUAAGUCUCUUGACCAUUUUUUAUCACUAAGGUUGUGUAAUAUAAUUUUAAUUUAAUUGUUUUAUCCUUAUAAUAUAAAAUGACUAAAUUAUCUAAAAUAUGUGCUCUUGUACCUUAAGUUAAAACUAUUAACGAGGAUUUAAUUGUUUAAUUGUUCAAAAUUCUACUUUAUUUGAUAUUAUUAAAAAAUAAUAUGAUCUGUAAUAGUUAUUUAUUUGAAGUGGGAUGGAUUACGCAAUGUGUGCGGGUGGAGAGAUGCAUUGGUGACGAUAUUUUUUAACAUUAUUAUAACUCCAUAAUAUUUGGAAGAAGGGAAGAAUAUUUCUCUACUUAACAAGCUUUCCAUAUUGAUCAAAUAAGUCCAUGAUUUUUAAGUAGGAAUAGGAAUAACAAUAUUAACCAUGCACAAUGAAAAAUAAUGCCGCAUACCCGGAUCGUUUGCUGUGAAUCUAAUGGCAGCCCAACAUUCUUAGGCACCAUAAUUGUAUUCUGAAGAGGAGGUUCAACAAAAUUAAAUCUCUUAGCAUCCUUAGCUCUAUCAAAAUUACCAAAUCCCCCACCCACCACAUAAAAACUGUAACCAUGCAAAUGCAUUGGAUGAUCAGUCCCUGCCAGCAAAUCUGUCCCCUGAAAAACAAUCUCCACCGCCGUAUUAUACUCAAGUACUUUCACCUCAAUCCGUGGCCUUUCUCGGCACGCUUAAAUUCAGCGGCAGAUUAUCCGCCGUGAAAUCGAAGAAUAGAGGAGGCUUUGCAGGGAAAUUAUCACUGUAUAUGCCGCUAACACGGUUAUAUUAAGCUUUUAAAAUGUCAGUGUAUGGGGCAGCAAAGCUUAUGUUACUAAUACUAGAAGCAAGCACGUGUCUUUGUCACAGGGCAAUGAGUUGACAGAAAUUGUGAAAAAUAAUUUCUUGUUUAACUUUUUGGGCACGUUAUAUUUGUGAUGGUCACUGUCUAGGUGUCUGAGGUAGUGAGGUUUUGUAAGAAAUUAACGGAAGCUUUUGUGUCAUCAUAAGAAGGAAGAUUUGGCAAAGGAGUUUUGGAAGAUGGGUAAAGUCCCUCGUAUUGGACAAUGGCAGUGGUGGUGGUGUUGUCGUCAUAGACGUCGGUGGCGCUGGAAUGAGCCUUGGCUGCCAUGUAAUAUUUGUUUGGAAUUUGGUUAGCUUUUAUCAAGACGUCAAUGAUUUGUCCUGGUGAAAUUGUCAGGUAUUCUACUUAAUGGCUUGGUGUAGCUGCCGUCGACUCCCACAAUUGUGAGCUCAUGUUUUGCGACAGCGAAGGAGACGGGGUCCUCCAGGCCGGCGUUGAUCAUGCGGAGGAGAUUAUAAGUCUUGCCCAAUUCCAUCAGUAACUUGAAUGUGUCUUUAAGAAAGUUGAAAGUAAUGGUGAAAAAUAUAUAUAAUCAAGUAAAACAAAGUUGUAAUUGGGGAGAAAAAAAAAAAUCUGAUGUGUGAAGGCCUAACAUUUUCUAAUUACAUUUUAAAACAUACCAACAUAGGUAAUAGAGAAUCGCCUAAUGUUGAAACUUUGUAAUCAAUCAAAGUUUAUGAAUAAAGAGGAAAAACAAUGCAAUUUGAAGCAAAAGAUAAGAGGAAAAAAAUGAUUAAAAAAAUCCUUGUUAUUGCAGUAAAUUAAUUACUUUCUAAUUUUCUCCUGUUUCAGAAUCCAUCAAACCCUCAAUACCAUUAAAAUAAUGCUAAUUUCCAACUUUUAUGUGUUGAAAAGUUGACAAUUUUUUAAUCGGGUGGGAGGUUCUUAAAUAAGUUUCGAACAUGAGGAAAAUUAACUAAUUUACAAAAACAACAAGGGGAGUUUUGAUCAUUUUCUUCACAAAGACAUUAGGAGGGAUUGAAAAAUCCAUACCUAAUUUUGAACUAAGAAAAAGAUCAACGGGUAGCUGUUAAUUGAGAUAAGCAUCUGAAACAUUAGGAUUUGUUCCUGAUUUGAUGAAUUGAUCAUAAAUCUCGAUCACGUCUUUCUUUCAUCACUCAGCCGUGCAUUAUUUUUAAAGAUUAUGGGUUGAAAUUAAUGAAAAUAAUACCCAAGAUGAUGGGCAUUUCAUCAUGAGGCUUGGGAAAAUGAUAAUAAGUUCCCUUCUUAGGAUAAACAACAAUGGCUCCAUGAACCGUUGUUCUUAACCAAUCACUAUGAGCAUGCCACCAAAUGGUUCCUUCUUCUGAAGAAAAUUUGACUUUUUGGCUAAAUUUUUUCUCCAGGUUUAAUAGGACAUUGUGUUAUAUAUUCAGAACCAUCCCCCCAUGGGUUCCUUGGCUGUUUCACUCCGUGCCUACAAACUAAAUCUUGUAAAUGAAUUUUUUUCACACUGUUCCGAGAUUGUAGCAAUAUAUAAAGUAUUUAUCUAGUGCAGAUAUAUUUUCAUUUUUUAAACAUUUGGACAAAAAUAAGAGAUAAAACAUACCAAGUACAACUAAAAGAUCCCAAAAGAAAUGCAUGGUAGACGUUUGCACUGGCCAGAUAAAUCAAUAUACACAAGAGGAGAGUAGAGAGAGGUAUUUGCGCACCAAUGUGAUGUUAUGUUUUAAUUGGCUUUGUCGUACACAUCAACUAUAAUUGCACCACCCUUGUGGGCGUACAAAGUUGGCUCAGGGAACUGUCCAUUUUGGGUCAUUAUUUUCUUUGUGCGGCAAAGCCUUGUGUAUGGAACAUCCUCAACCUGAAAGGAAUGGGUUAUUUGCAGGAUUAUGAUCGUUAUUGGACAACAAAUAAUUACUUACCUCAAAUUUGUGACAAACCACAGAUGGGCAAUGAAGGAAGUAACUCGUCAAUAACAAAAAUCCCAAUAUAUGGAAACCUGAAAUUUUCAUGAUUGGCAACAUUUUUCAGCAAAUAAAUAACUCAUUUUGUUCAAAUUUGACGCUAUGAAUGCUUAAAUGAGACUAGCUGUUAUCAUAUUUAUAGAUGAAGCUUUUAUAAAACGAUAAAAGUUGGGUAAAAUUUUUCUUCAUUUGUCAAUAUCAAACAUAAAGUAAGCACCAAAAUAUAUAACCAACUUCAAAUCCAAAGACGGAUAUUUUGAACUGCCGAAAUUCUGCGCUUGCCAGACAGAAGCUUCAUUUUCUUUAAAAGCAAAGGCCAAGGAAUGAAGAAAAGACUGAUACAAAGUUUUAUUACCGCAUUGGAAUAAUAUGAUGACGUUUAUUGUUAUUUUAUGUGAUUCAAUGAGAGAUAAUAUUGAUUAAAAACUAAAAGACGUGGAUUACACUACUGCUUUAUUGUAGAAUUGAUUGCUCUUAUUUGCGUUUUUGUAAAAAUAAAGCAGAAAAAGAAGAAUCAUAAUAAGAUGGCAAUUGUAACACUCCAGUGUGAGGGAUGUAAGCAUUAUGAGACUUUUGUGGUGGAUCUGAACGAAGCCGAAAAUAUGAUAUAAUGUAAGAGCAGAUUGUUCUAGUAAACAGGAGCUUGUUACUUUAUAUUAUUACGUAAGUUACAUAACUUUUUUAUAAUUAUUUGAUAAAAAUCUAACAGUUAUAGAAAUAUAAGAUAAUAAAAUUAUAUUUUUUUCAUAACCGUUAAUUUUUUAUCAAAUGAUUGUGGAAUAAUUAUGUACUUUACAUAAUAAUGUAAGGCGACUAAAGCCCAAUAAAUAACAUACUUUCAUUAAUAAAAUGAAAAUUUUCAUUGUAGUAACAAAAUUGGAAUAUUACGACUUCUCCAACUUUAACCGUCUUAACAAAAUUGGGCCAAGUGGACCAAUUAAUUGGCAAGAGGACCGAAUAGAUAUUAUUUUUGCGUGUAAUUUUGGGUUCUUUAUAUUACACGCAAACAACAAACACUGAGAAAUUGUUGGGGAGCACUUUGGGUCCAUAUGUAUCCAAAUCUAGCUAAUAGUUACUUUCCACUAAUCAACUAUUCGAUAAAUGGGCUAGUGUAUUGACACAUAUAAAAGUCACAUCUAUAUAUAUUCAUAAAGUUGGAAUUUGAGGAAGUGGCGUGGCAUCACUAUUUCUCAUCUUUAUAUAUUUUUUAUUAUCUAAUAAAUAAAGAAAUUUUCUUUUAGAUUUAGUUUUUUAACUUCUCACAAUUAAUUUGAUUGUUAUUACACAAUAAUAAUUAUGUAAAGGUUUUAAUGAGACAUAUUCUUUGUAAUGAACAUCCAAGCGGGAGUGUUAUGAAUUUAUUAAAAUAAAUGCAUAUGUUCAUAACAUAUAUCUCUUAGUCUCCCAAUUAUCUCUCAUUAGCAACAUUUAGCUUCCCUAUAACUCCCACUAUCUCACAAUGAAUUAUGAUCCAUAAUUUUUCAUUAAUUUCAUGGAGUGAUUAUAUAACUAUAAAAAGAGAGCUCAUCUUUUUAUUUUGUACACACACAAUUGGAAUGAAUAAAAUCACUCUAUAAUAUAUUUUCUUAUUUUAUUCUUUAUCUUGCGUUGCUUCUUUAUUUGUAUUGCUGGCUAAUAAUUAUUUUUUAUUUUUUAUAAGGUUGUCUCAUCUUAAAAAAAAAUCAAUUCAUAUUUUUUAUUAGUAAAAAAAAAUAAUAAUACUAAAUUCUUUUUUUAAAGCCGCGUGAAGCGCAGUUCUAUUUUCUAAUGUCUAUAUAUAUUUCAAGCUUUAGAUUAUAUCAAUUAUACAACGCACAUUUCAACAAGUCUAUUCCGAUUUCUUGUCUCACGAAUGACAUGUCGGUAGAAAACAAAACGAUAAAUAACGGACCAUCUAAAGUCUCUGUGUCAAUUAAAAUAUUAUUAUUGUUGACGUGUUAAAAAAAAAAUGAAUGCAAAUUCUCUUUCCCCACGACAUUUUCAAUUGGAAAAUGCUUAACAACUUGACCCAACUAAAUGAAUGGAUUUUCUCAUGUUAACAAGGGGUUAUGUCUCUAUUUGGGGUUUCUUUGAAUAUUUUUGUACUUCAAAUUUUAUUUUUUUCCUGUACUUUUCUUCAAAUUUUUUUUUUAUAUUAAUCUUCAAAUUUUAUUUUGUCAGCUGUGACGUUAAAGUUUCCUUAUGGAUGAAACUUCAAAAGUCUCAUGUUUCCAAGGUUCUCCGAAAUUAUUCCUUUCUUAAAUGAUUUGUUGUAAUAAAAUGUUUCUCAAUGUGUAAAGCUGAAAUUGGAAAUUUCCAUCAUCCCACCGCUCGAAAUAUAAAUAUCAUAUCAUUUUAUAGGAAAAAAAAUUAAUAUAAAUGCUCAAUAUUAUUAAUUGUGAGGCAUAUAUUUAAAGAAAUUAUGUUAUUUUCGCAUUGAUAUUUCUUAUAAAAGUUCAUGUGAUGCAUUACCACAACUUUUGAAAUCUAAAUUGUUAAGCCUAACUAAUAGAGAGUUCUUAAGGGUGAAAGUAAUUCCUUUUUUUUUUUAACUGCGAAGACAGUAGAUUCGUAAGAUCAAUUUGCAAGCUUCAGGAUUUAAUUUACAUAAAUUGCUUCAAAACUAAUAAAUUUAACAAGGAGGCACGUCUGGUGGUGGAGGUAGCAAUCUUUCUUGGGGUGAUUCUCCGUUCUUUACAAUGAAUACCGUCUUCAUUCCCCAUGUAAGGUGCUCCUCUCUAUGGCAGUGCAUAAACCAGACUCCUGUACCAUCAUGAUAAUAUUUAUUAUUAUAACCAUUAUAAUGAUAAAUGUUAAUGAUGAUGAUGAUGAUGAUGGGAACUGUUAAGACUGAAGAGAAAUUGCUUGACCAAAAAUAUAAACUAAUAGGUAAAAGUUCUUAGUAAGUUUCUCAUGUAAAAUGUGUCAAUCAAAAAAUUUAGAUAACCUAUUGAGGGGGCCAUGGCCCUGCCAUAGAAAUUUUUUAAUGCUAUAGUAUGAAAAGAUAUUUUCUUGUAAUAAAUUUAAUUCGACUUCAAAUUUGGAUUUUUUUUUUUAUAUGUUGGCCACUAUUAUUUAUCAUUUACUGCAAAAUGAUCCUAUGCAUUUCUGAAAAUUUUCAUUCAACGCGUCCUUUCCUAUACUUUUGUAUCAGUUAUUAUUUAUGACACAAUGACCCACAGAUUAAAUAUUAUGAUUUCGCCACCGGGAUACAAACACGAGACCUUCAUUCUAAUACUUUGUUAGAAAAUUUACUUGACCUAAAAGCUUAAGUUAUCAGCAAGGAUCCAAAUGGUAGAGACAAGUCUUAAUAAGAUCGAAGACAAGGAAGAAUCAAAGAUGAUGGUGAUGAGUGACGACAUACAUACAUAUAAUGAUGUUGAAGAAUAGUGCUGCUUACCAGGAUUGCUUGCCCUGAAUCUGACUGUAGCCCAGCCACUAAUAGGCACAUCCACUAUGGUCCGGAGAGGAGGAUCAAUCAGAUUAUAAUUUAAUGGGUCUUUUUCUUCGUCAAAAUUUCCGAACCCAAAUCCAACAACAAAAAAACUGUAUCCAUGCAAAUGUAUUGGAUGACUUGUCCCAGCAACCAAGUUUGUCCCUUGGAAAUUUAUCUCCACAGCUGAAUCAUAAUCCAAUACUUUCACUUCUGUCCCUUGUUCUGGAAUCUGUAAGAUCAUGGGCAAAUCAUCUGCUGUGAAGUUAAAAAAAUAUGGCGGAAAGUCUGGAAAAUUCUCUCCAUAAACCCCAUUGAUGCGAUCGUAGUAAGCCUCAAGUAUAGCAAUUGAUGAUGGCUCAACAAAACUUUGGUUGUUCAAGCUAGCAGCAAGUCGAGUUCCAUUCGGCCCUUCACACGAAUUGUUAUCAUUUUCACAAGGCAAUGUGUUUAACGAAACAGUUGAAAAUAUCGAACUGGUAAUGUCUAACGGGACAUCUAUGGGAUGAUCUUCAUUUGCCAAGCUCCGAAGGCUACCGAUAAAUUGGAAGGCCGAAUUUGUGUCAUUCCUAGAAGGAAGAUAAGGUAAAGGAGGAGAUGAAAUUGGAGUGUAAUUUCCAUUGUAUUGUAAUACAGCCGUGGCCGUCGUGUUGUUGAUGAAAUCAAGAUUGACUACAGUGGAAUAAACACUUGAAGCCAUGUAGUAGAGAUUAGGGUUCUGGUUGGCUUGUAACAACACAUCUAGGGUUUGUCCUGGUGAUAUUGUAAUGUAACUGGUUGUUAAUGGAUUAGUGUAAGCACCGUCGGUUCCCACGACUGUGAGAUCGUGAUUUGCGAUGGAGAAGAAAAGCAUUUCGUCCAUUGCAGCAUUAAUUAUGCGGAGAAGAUAAGUUUUGCCUUCAUCCACUGUUAGCGUGAAUGUCUCUGCAAUAUAGAAUAUUAUUAAUUAGUUGUUAGAAGAAUUAUAAAAGCAUUAUUAAUUAGGAUACAUUUUUGGUAAAUUUUCUUCUUUUUUUUUUAUUCCUCUAAUUCAUGUACCGAAAAUCCGAAAUGACUCGGGCGUAUCCAAAAUUAUUUUACUUUAAAAAAAAAUUAAUUAAACCCGAUUACGUGUUAAUUGCAUAUAUACCUGAACUCGAGCAUGGGUAUAAAUCACCAGGUUGACCAUUUAUAGUAAAAGCGUCCGAUGCUGCUGGCAGUCCCCCUGUUCUAAGUAGUUCAUUUCGAACUUCCGUCACACCUUGCUUCCACCACUCUCCUACAUUUUUUUUUUCCCAUAAUGUUUUUAACACUAACUAGAUCAUUAAUUUACGUUCAUUAAGAUUUUUGAUAGUAUUUAUGUGAAAUAAAUUUCGUAAAAUAAACUACCCAAAAUGAUUGGAACUUCCGCAUUGGGUUCAGGAAAAGGAUAGCCAGCAGUUCCAGGCCUCGGCUGUAUAAUGAUAGCUCCAUGUACUGUGGCACGUGACCAUUCACUGUGAGCAUGCCACCAAAGAGUUCCUUCCUCUUCCGAAAAAAUUAUCUUCUGCCUGAAGCUUGCUCCAGGUUUGAUUGGGCACUGUGUUAUGUAUGCAGGACCAUCGGACCACGGAUACCUAGGCUGUCUCACUCCGUGCCUGGACGUGAAAUCAACCCUAGUCUGUUAAGUUUACAAUCGAGCUAAAAGCUUAAGCUCAAAGGUAAAAGCUCAGUAUUUCAUUGGUGAUACAGAAACAACCCCCUUUUUUUUUUUUUUUUUCCUUUUUAUAGUACAAUUAAGUGAAAUAAAAGAGCUAGCUGUACAUAUUUACCAGUGAAUGGUGAUAUUUUCUUUGCCUUCAUUAGAAACCUCGACGAAGAUUGUAUCGCCUGUAAAAACCCUAAUAGUUGGUCCAGGGAAUUGUCCAUUUACGGUCAAGAUAUUCUUUGUGCUGCAUAGCCUUGUAUAUGAAGCCUCCUUUACCUACACAAAAAAUUAAUUAUGCAGUAGUAUAUCCUUAUGCGAAGAAAAAGAAGAAAAAUAUUUAUCGAUAUUCACAUUUCUUAGUUUAUGCGAUUCAAAUUUUAUUUUUUUUUAACAUGCCACUUAAACAUAACCCAAAAAUAAUUAAAAAUUCAGAAUGUUAAAAGUAAUAAUAAUAAAGGUUACAAUAUCGUUAUUAAAAUGGGAAGAAAUGGUCAAUAGCCAAUCGAAUACGAUAUUGCAUAGAUUCCCCGUCCCUCAGGUAUGCAUGAAGCUAGCUAGAGACUGAUCGCUAGAGCAGCGCCUCACAAAAAUGUUUAUUUUUAAUUCGGAUAAUUUAUAUUUUCAAUCCAAAUUAUAGAUUUUUUUUAUUCUCUAGCCCAGCGAACUUUAAGAGUUUUACGUCUUGCCCCAGAAAUACAUACUUUUUAAAUUUUCAGUAUUCGGCCUAAUGCCUGCCUAUAGACCUUUAAUUACCCAUGAGAGUGUGUGACAUUUGGACCCCCGGAUGGAAAGAAACAAAGCCUAUAGAGGCCAAGUCUAAGAACUACAUAUAAAACUCGGGACCAUAAUAGUAAUAAAAAAAGGAAAAUAAACCUUAAUUAGCAUGAGCCAGAGAAUAAAAACCUAUCUCGAGGCAAAAAUGUGAAUAGUUAUUUCUAUCUCUCAAUUGAUUUUGAGUUUUUUUUUUUUUUUGGAAAAGGGGCCGUGGCUGCUUAGGACAUAGCCGGGCUCCAUCCUGGAUGCAUAAAGCUAAAAAUAUAGUAAAGAAGCUCUUGAAAGCAAAAAUAAUUAUAAACAAAGGAAAUAUCUUUAAAAUGUGCAACUAGGAAAUCUAUAGGCAUCUCACAGCAUAUGUAAUUUUGUAAAUCAUGAAUUGCCUCUCUGUGAUAGAAAGAGAAAGUACAGUACUACUCACCACGAAAAGAUAAUCAUUUGAAGCCGAGCGGAGGCUAAACAAGAGCUGAAAGCAGAAUAUUUUUAAGCAGAAGGUUCCAUUGCGAAGACGCAGCAUUAUUCCGAAUUUUGAUAAUAAGAAUACUUUGCUUCUUCAAUUGAUCAAAUGAAAUUUUUUUUUUGGUUCUUAUACAAGUUAGUGAUGAGCAAGAGAAUCAUUUGCUCACGUUAUUAUGAUACUGAUUGCUUAAGGACAGCCGAAAGAACUAAGACAUUCCAAAUAUGUAUAUUGCCCCAAAAAUGCUGAUUGGGACUCAAUUUCUACAAUAAUAUUUUUCAUAAUUGCAUGAUAUUUUCGUUAGCCAAUUGAUAACUUAAAACAAAAAUGACCACUAAUUAAGCUUUAGCAUUUCUUUCAUUUUUGGUUAUUAGCACCCACUCUAAUGUUUUUACCAUGUUUUAUUAUUGUUGUAUCAUUUUUUUCUGUCUUAAAGAAAAAAAAUAGUGAUAUGCAUACUAGUUAUUUCUGAACUGGCUUGGUCAUAUUAGUUUAAAAUUAUGUCAAAAACAUUCAAUAGGGUGGUUAUAUUUAUAGAUAGAGAGAAUAACCUAUAAUUUUAAGAACAAAAUUUUGGAACGAAAGUUUUAAUUAUGCCAAAAUUUCCAUGACGAAUUCUUUAGUAAAUGUCGAGCCAUUAUCUUGCUGUGAAGUAAAAAAAUAAUAUCUAAAUAUAAUAUAGGGAGAUUAUCAUUUUUUCCAUAUUAAAUUAAUAUAUAUCACUUAUCCUUUUACCCCCUAACACAAAAAAUUUAAAGAAAAAGAUGGGUAAAUGGGCCAUUUCUAAUAAUAUUCUUAUUUUCAAAUACAUUUUUAUUUUUAUUUAUUAUAAAUUAAAUAAAUAGAAAUUAAAAUAAAAAAUUGGAAGUAUUAAAAAUAAAAAUAUAUAUAUUUGGAUGUGAAAAAAAUUAAUAAUAAGAUAUUAUAAAAAUGCCCAUUGAUCCCCCUUCUUCUUUAAAAUAUUUGUGUUAGAGUAGUUUUUGGAUAUUAUAAAAAUAGUAGGGGAAUAAGCGGUAUAUUGAUCUCAGUAGAGAAUAAACUGACAAUCUACCUAUAAUUUAAGUAGUAAAUUAAUUUAUUCUAAAGUCCAUUUUUGAUAACCCAGUGCGUGUGUAGUUCGAAUGUGAUGCUCAAAAACUAAUAGAUAGAUGGAUAUAGCAAGCGAUACACACAGAACAAAUCAAUGAUGGCCCAUUAAAUCUAGGAUAUACAUAAUUACUUGUUCAAAAUAAAUUAAAAAUGGUGAGAAACUACAUCAUUGCAUUCAUACAAGUUUUUUUUUUUUAUUACAUUUAAUAAGAAUUAAAAUAAUCUUUGUCCCCUCCUAAAUCGUUUGUGUAAUAAUUUUGUGCUUUUAGGAAUCAUUUCGAAACAAAGAAAAUCUAUAUUUGUCUUAGAGGCCUUUUUAUCAGAAUAUUUUAGUCAAAUUAAAUUUGACUUUGGCUGCAAUGACACAAUUUUUGCUGAAGAGAGGUCCUGCUAUUUUUCAACACCCCUAGUUUUACAGGUGAGCUUUACAGCAAAUUAAAAAGUGGUAGCAGGUAUUAACAAAGAAGAAAACGACUCAAAUCUUAUGAUAGGUUUAUCUAUCCCUUUCUUGGAAUAAUAUUCCAAAAUAAUUUUACUUGUUUAAAACACCCAUAAAAAUGAAAUUAAAUUGCUUAGUUAACAAAGGUUUAACUAGUAAGUAUAUGUAACUAAGUUAUUUCUUUUCUAGUUGGCUUAAGAGAUUAAGAAAUGAUUUUCGUCUGUUGCAUAGGACUUUCUGGCAUCGCUGCAACUACAGCAUUUAUUACGUUGACAAUUGGAUGUUAGUGAAUUCAGAUAUGGGAAACAAUAGCGUAUGAUUAGUUAUCAAUCACUAACUUUGAGCAAAAAGUUGUCGAUCGAUCGUUGUUUUGUUUUAUUCAUUUGCUUUUUAAUGGACAGUAUAAAUUCUUUUCCGAUGAACAAAUAUAGCCAACGUAGUUGAAGAUAAAAGAAUCGUACCCGUUUUUGAAUAACGACAUUGUAGAAAUAUUGAAUGAAGUUGGUUGAAUUUCAACCCUCCAAUUUAUUAGACUUUAUGGUUUACGUAGCUUACAAAAGCAAAUAAUCCAAUAGUGUCCGAAAAGAAUGUAACGUAUGCAAACCAUAUCCUCUAUUACUUAGGAUGCCAGUGAGACGGAAAGGAAUAAUUUGGAAAAAGAGUGAAUGACAUGAAUAUAAAAUAAAACAAAAUUCUCUCAUUUUUCUUCUUUUUUUUUUUUUUGUUGUAAAUCAUCCGGUGUCUUGCGACCGCAUUGGGCCUUGACUAAUCCGGAUUCGGGGUGUAGUCACAGUUAAGGCUCUUUACCCCUCCCAAAUAGUGUGUUUAGUGGGGAUCGAACCUGAGAGCUCUUCCCACAAACUCAGCCUGCGCUGCCAACUGAGCCACAAUCAUUUGGUCUCAUUUUUCAAAGAGACGUACUUAUUUUUUUUUUUUUGUUUGGUUAAGCUUUUUUUCUCUCACUUUUUCUUUGUGCUUUCAAUCGUAGUAUAAAAUUUUAUUUAUUUUCUUAACACUAAAAAAGUUAAAUAAUUAUGUCUAAAUAAAAUUAACAAAUGGAUACAUGUCAUGAUUGAUUGAGUAUAAAAAAAAUGUCCAACAAAAUUGACACCGCUGUCAGCAUUUCCACUUGCAAGCACAUCUGGCACCCACGUCUCUAUUGAAGUUAAAUAAUAUGGAAGAAGAUCAUUAAUUAUUGAAAACCUAAGUAGAGAAGUUUGUAAUCUUAUUCUCAUACGCAUGCAAUCAAAUUCUCAGUUUCCACUAUAAAUAAAGAUUUGGAACUGUUUUAGAUCUCAAAAUAGCAGGCAGUUAAUACGAAGACUUUUGCUGAGUAAAGCCCCAAAUGCAUAGGCUAGCUGUUAUACAUUUGUACACAAGUAAGUUCAAAACAACAGUUUUACACCGCUGAGAUGAAUGUAACAGUUAUGCAUAUCCGAUCGAUGUAAACCUACGAACAGAAAGUAUGUUUAAUCUACAACCUCUUAUGCAAGGAUUGAAACUCUAACAUCAUGCGUGAUUUAAACACUUUGGGACAUUCAAUGAUCGAAUGAGCAAAGCUAUAAGUUUUCUGUAUCUUCAGCUGCGAGGAUUAUUAAACAAUCGAAAGCUUGACUAAAGAUAUAUAAUUAAGCAAGAGAAGAAUAAAUGUAAUAGCUAGCCUGUGCCUACCGGUUUAAGCGGGAACUUCUAGUCUGGGCUGUGGUAUGAGUUUAAAGGUGUCUCCCAUAAUUAGAGUCCUCCUCAAGAUACCUCGUGGUUAAGACCAAAAAAAAAAAAGUCUCCAUUGGCUUCAGAACUUGAAAACGCGUCAAAUGACACCAAAACGAGUGAGUUUGGCUGCCGUUUUGGGAGGAGACGAGAGUUUCCUUUAGUUGUGUUUCUAUUCGUUUUCUUUUAUUCUUAUUAUUAUUAUUAUUAUUAUUUUACUUUUUUAAAUUUGGAAAACUGUUGGAUUGGAACCGAGCAGUAUAAAAACCAAUUGGUUUCAAUUGACAAACUCGAGCCAACUUAAAAAAAAAAAUGUAAAUUUUGAGUUACUCCCUCGUGAAUUAUUGAUAAUCUUUAAAUUGUCCCCUUAUUUUUAAAAAUAUCAAAUUAUCCGUUAAAAGUAGUUAAUUUUAACGAUUGACCGUCAUUAACUUAUUAAAUAUGAAAAUAUCUUUUUUAACAGCCUCGUUAACUAACGGUUUUAAUAUUAAAAAAAUAUUAUUAAAUUGAUAAAAUAAUAAAAAUUACAGACCUUAAGAUCCAAAAAAAAAAAUCUAUCUCUUCUCAAUUUCAUCUUCACUAAAUCAAAAUCACAUUAAACCUAAUUGAGAUACCCAUAAUAUUGGUUGGCAUGGCUACAUGUGGCAAAGGAUUUGGUUGCCUUGACCGCGUGCAGCCAUGGCUUGGUUUCCAUGGUCGCAGGGCACCAGGGAUUUGACUGCCUUGGUUGCACGUGGCCAUGGGUUUGGUUUCCAUGGCAGCGCAUGACCAAGGGUUUGGUAUCCAUUGGGGUAAAAUGAAAAUUUUUAAAGCAUUUGGGGCUUACUAUAAAUAUUUAAAAAUUUUGUGUGUGUUUUAAAAUGUUAGAAAGAUUUAGGCUAUAAAAAUUUGCCUACAUAGCAGCUUGGUCUUUUCCUUCUUAAUUGACUGUUAGGAAAAUGUAUAAAUUUAUUUUACCCUUUUGAUAGUUAAAAAUAAUAGAGAUAACAAUUUUUGAGGGUAUAUUUUCAAGAGUAAGGAAAGCAAUUUAAAUAUUGUUAAUUCACGUAAGGGUAAAUCCAAUAUGAACCUGAAAAAUAAACACCUCAUUUAGUUCAGGAUUGUCAAUCGUGGGACCUAGGUAUCAAAAGUUAUAUAGUCUGUAACUUGAACAUAUUUAAGAGUAAUACGUGGGACUUAAAAGCAAUUAUUUUUAAAUACUUUUUACUUUUUCUUGGUAAAAUAAAUCUAGGAGAACUUUUCGGAAUCUCUGUACAAACAAACUUGUAGGUUAGGGGAAAAAAAAACUAUUAGUAAUCCAAAAAAGAAAACAAAGAAAAUAUAAUUUACAUACAGAUAGCAAAUAUUAUCGUCCAACAUUUUUUCUUAGGUCUUGGGCCACAUUUAAUUAAUAUAUUUCGACUCCUACGUUACUGUUUACCUAAUUUCUUAAUGAUACAUAUUUAUACAGUUAAAUUCUUCGUUGUGUUACAUUUCUCAGUUCUAUUUCAACCCAAUAGGCUAAUACAUGAAAUAAAAUGUGGAGAAAUGUAACAGAAUACACAAGAAAAAUAAAAACAAAUGGGCGAGAUGUCAUGUUCUCCACCGAAUAUCAUAAUGAAUAGUUUUGUUUCAAAUUUGCAAUAACCUCAGCUCUCAAGGACUUCUUAUAAAUGUUGUUAUAUACACCUACCUUCAGGUACAUUCCAUGCAUAUUAUUAUGUAUACGAUUCCUCUAGAGUCUAGAUUGUUAAAUACUAACUAAGCAACAAAUUAUAUCUGUGGGAACCAUACCCAUUAAUAAUAUGGUUCCUUGAAAUACAGCGCAUAAAUAAUGCAACAAAAAGUAAAAAUAAUAACAACAACAUCAAAGGUGAGAGCUGUCAUGGCUUGGUCACUCAGCUCCAUAUUUCUUCCUCCUAAUCGAUCCACCAUGUCCGGAAUUGAUCCGUAGUUCUUCAAUGCUUGAUCAUAAGGAUCUUCAAAUUUCAUUUUUAGCUUCUCAGCUUUUCGGCUUGCAGCUUCUUGAGCAAGUGUCCAGUCAUAAAACCUUCUGCUUUCUUCAUUGCUUAAUACAUCGUAAACUUCCCUUAGCUUUAGGAACUUCUCAGAAGCAGCUUUUAGAGGGAGUGAUGUUGCGUCUGGGUGGUACUCUUUUGAUAAUCUUCUGUAAGCUGAUUUUAUCUCUUCCAAAUCCGCGCUUGGUGAUAUUCCUAAGAACCUGAAUUUUAUAUAUUGACUAUUAAUCGAUACUAGCCAGCUACUUGAGUUCUGAACAUUGAGGCUAACAAUAAUUUUCAAAGAGAACUUAUUACAUUUCGAAUUAACUACAUCUUACAGUUUUUGUUUUUUUUUAAUUUAUUCGGCCGGUUUUGUAAGAAAUCUAUUGUGAAAUUGUGUAAAUCAUCAUAAACUUACUAGUUAUAACUAAUACUGAAUCCUUAAUAAUUUUAAGCUAUUAAGUUGAGAAGUUUCCCUAUCUCAAAUAGAGUAAAUAGCACAUGUACAAAGUUUAUUUCAAAUAUAUAUAUGUACAAUUAUAAAUUAGUAGAAUUUGUGAAUAAAUCACCAACUAUUGGAUGAGCAAUAUCUAUUGAAAAAGUGAAACAAGAAAAUGGAAUAAAAAAUAAUAAUAAUAAAACAAACUUACUGGUAAUGAGAAUCAGAGGAGUUGUUUAAAAGAUCAGCGAACUUCUCACCCAAGAGAUUCUUUUGCUCUUCUUCAGCAUUAAAAUUCUGGUUUGUUUGGUGUGACGAUGAUGAGCUUCCACCAAUCCACCCUUCAUCUUCGUUUUCCCAAUGAAUCCUUGUAUCAACUCCCGGCUGCGCUCUUCGUUGGCUCUUGUUACUGCCAGCCUUUUGCGAUGCAAACACACGCAGAAUUUUGCUUCUUGUCCUUGCUGUUGCCGCUCUGGGCUCCUUUGUCAGCUGCUGCAGGCUGCCGUGUUGGGUUUUGAGAAACAGAGAAUAUGGAGAUUGCGGAGAUACUGUGGAAGCCAUGAACAUGAAUGAGAGGGAAAAGAGAAUUGGUGCCGGCUUCCAUUUUCAAGAUGAGAAGAAAAUUUGUUUUUUUCAGGGCCUCAUGUUUCUGUGUGGCCCAGAAAUUCCGAGGACUUUUCUCUCACAAAUCUUUUGUUUUUAAAUUUUAACUGUGACCUCAUGCCACAUUCACAAAAUUAACAAUUUUGGAGGUUUUAGCAAUUUUCCUCAGAUUGUGUGAUAUAUAAUUUAAAAUGUAAAAUCCAUAAACUCUCUGAAAACCCCCUUGAUAAUUGAUUAAUAAUGACGGUGGCCGGUGGGGACUUGAGUGAAAUAAACAGAAAGCUAGAUGGGACCGUAGUCAUAGUUGCAAAUAAAGUAGGGACCUAUACGUUUUCAUCCUUCCUUUUUUUUUUUUCCAUGAAAUAUCGAAAAUAAUCUAAAUUCAAAAUUACAUUGAGAAAUUGGAAGAAAUCUAAAAACAGGUCCGCUAUCAGCUUGUCUAUUUUGAUGAGUUCUCCAUCUUUCUCUGCCGUGAUAAUUAUAAAAUAUUAUCUUUUACUUUGUUGCAGCCAUAAAUGAUAAAUUUUAGACUUCCCAUCGCUGUUUUGCAGUUGUUCCAUGUUCGCAGAGCAAUAGAGUUUGGGAAUUUUAGUGAUUAUUUGCGUAUGUGAUCAUAAGUCUCGGGCUACUAAUCUUCACAGUUAAAAGCACAAUACAAUUAAUUCUGAAGAUUUUUAAUUCCUAUAUAUAGUCUUUUAAUAUUGUCAUAAGAUUAACGUAGAUUUUUUAAAACUGUA
rnacentral:lncRNA from 1 species